CUCUGUAUGUGAAGUGGUUGGACAUGUUACCUGUGGUGUCCUGCUGCCUGGAACAUUGUUUGGUGUCUUGACAAAGAUCACUGGGAUGUGAUCGAAACGUCGACUUGAUGAUUCAAUAUUAAAACUACAGCUAUUAUUUUACAAAAAACUGAUAUUCCAUAUGGCGAAAUUUGGUCCGAUACCAUUUUAAGUAUUGAGUAUUGUUUAUUUGCCUUUUGAAGACACGAUAAGAUGUAUGUCCAUAUUGUGAUUCUUUGAAAUACUGGGCUACCUGACACCGAUUGCUCUACACGCUGUCCUAACCACCCGAUCCAGGGCCUUUCAUUCUGCAACACUACAAUUUCCGAACCAUACGACAAUCCCGUAGGCCUAACAACAAAAGCUGCACCGGGAGAGGAUCAGUGCACUUUCACAGUGUCUAUAGACACGGCAGCCUGCAUCAGCUUUUUGAGAAAGUUAUUUGAUGGAUGUGUCUCAAAAAGCAUUGUGUUGGCUCAGGCAGCCAGCAUGUAAUUAAUGCAAGGAUUUCAUUUAGAAUCUACCUGAUGCCUGUUGCAGUUUUGUAUUGAUGGCAUGGGAGAAUGUGUAAAGGGUGAACAAUGAGCAAGCACAUUCUUAGGGAACACCAUGGUAGAUAUAACAUAUUUUAACAUUUCUAUUUAAUUCCUUUAUUGAAAUGAACAAAUGAGCACACUGCAAGCAUGCACAUAAAAUCAAUAAAUGGGUGGUGAUGACACUUUUUAAGCACCGCUAUUAAAUGGAGAGUCUACGCAGGUCUAACCACACAUACAAAACUGUAAGAUGAAUUCUUGAUUUCAAGUGUGAUUUUGAAGUCUGAAGUGUUUAAAUGUUUUUGUACAUUCUUGUUGAGUGUUCAUGCAGAGAGUUAUCUGUCACAUGUGCUCACCCUACUGAUACGCUGCUACUUUAAGUAACUGCCUGAAAGGACACGAGCAAUACUAUUUUUUAUUUAUAAUGGUAGGAUCAGUGUCCAUCUCAUCUCAUAGUUUCCCCCCAGGAAAAAGUUAAAGUUCAAUCCCUUUAAAAGUAUACUUGUUGUCUACACAGCUAUUUUGUGGCCUGAAGAACCAUUUCUCAGAUUUCUUUUAUUUUUUUAAUCUGCAGAAAAAUUGAAUUAAGAAUUUGUAGAUUUACUUUAAAAAGCCUACAGUUCACAAAACAAUACUGUAGGAACAAUCUGUGUCAGUGUUAUUUGUAGUACUCAUCUGUUUACUUUUUAGGAUGUUGAAUACUUUUGCAAGACACUAUGGGAGUAAUUCUGAGUUGAUCAC